GGACUGGGCAUGUGCGCCCUGGCCGCAGCGCUGGUGGUUCAUUGCUACAGCAAGAGUCCGUCCAACAAGGAUGCAGCCCUGUUGGAAGCUGCCCGUGCCAACAAUAUGCAAGAAGUCAGCAGAAACAGAUGUGCUUUGCUUCAUUCUGCUGCAGUACAGGAGUACGGGUAUGGAAACUGACCCUUGCUGACCCUGGAAUCACCUGUUGGCUACUGCGAAGGGCUGCCGGGCUGCGACUUUCCCCUUUUGGCAGGGCAUUUGCAGAGCAGCAAUGUUGGGAAUCCACUCUUCCAUCCCCCAGGGGAUGCCACUACCAUAUUCCAUUGAGCUGCCAGGCAUUGAUUAUUUAGUUCUUUCAAAUACAUGUUUUUCUAAUAGCAAUUAAACACCCAUCCCAAAAAUACAGAAAGUAAUUGAACUU
rnacentral:lncRNA from 1 species